rnacentral:rRNA from 1 species
CUAAACCUACGGGGGGCAGCAGUGGGGAAUAUUGGACAAUGGGGGGAACCCUGAUCCAGCGACGCCGCGUGAGUGAAGAAGUAUUUCGGUAUGUAAAGCCCUAUCAGCAGGGAAGAAAGUGACGGUACCUGACUAAGAAGCCCCGGCUAACUACGUGCCAGCAGCCGCGGUAAUACGUAGGGGGCAAGCGUUAUCCGGAUUUACUGGGUGUAAAGGGAGCGUAGACGGGCCAGCAAGUCUGAUGUGAAAACCCGGGGCCCAACCCCGGGAGUGCAUUGGAAACUGCGGGCCUGGAGUGCCGGAGG